GACUUUUGCGUGUGCAUUUUUCUGAAGAGACAAUACUGUUUUCCAAAGACCUUAGUGUGCCAUCCAGGGUCCCCAGGUUAUUAAGAAACACAUCCUGGAGUGAAAGGAAUGGAGGACAGAGACCUAUUCUCACACAUUUGAAACGUGGACAUGUAAAGAAAGCCCACACUGAACUCUACAAGACUUCCCAGGAAAGAAGAAACUGGAACCCGUAGGACUCUGCUCUGCUCUCCCAGAAGCAGCUGAUACUGGAAGCAAGAGAAAAACAAGUAUCCAUGCAGAGCAAGCUCAACCUACAGGCAUCAAGGGGCAAGGAAGGGAGUCCCAGGGGCCACGAUGACUCACGGCUGACCAGGGACAGGCUCUUAUCUGGAAGUCCUAAAGACCAUUGCUCUGAUGGAGAGAAGGGAUGGAAAUGGUGUCUGGCUUAAGAAACCUGCUGCUGGCUGGGACUUGUCACUGGUCCUUGAUAUAGGAUGCUCAGAGAACAGAAGCCCAGCUGGGCACUAGUUAUGCCCUCUGAGUUGCCUUCCUAAUCUAUGGUGGGUCACAGAGGGAAAGAGGCUAACAUUACUAAGUGUCUCUGUGCCAAGUAGUAAGCACUGGCCUUAUAUAUGGCAUCUCAAUACUAACCAAUCCCUGUGACACGGGAGGGAAUCCUC